UAGCCAAAGAUCUCUGCUCAGUGCUC
rnacentral:piRNA from 1 species